AGGUGGUGCAUGGUUGUCGUCAGCUCGUGUCGUGAGAUGUUGGGUUAAGUCCCGCAACGAGCGCAACCCCUAUUGUUAGUUGCCAUCAUUCAGUUGGGCACUCUAGCGAGACUGCCGGUAAUAACCGGAGGAAGGUGGGAUGACGUCAAAUCAUCAUGCCCCUUAUGACCUGGGCUACACACGUGCUACAAUGGUUGGUACAACGAGUUGCGAGUCGGUGACGGCGAGCUAAUCUCUUAAAGCCAAUCUCAGUUCGGAUUGUAGGCUGCAACUCGCCUACAUGAAGUCGGAAUCGCUAGUAAUCGCGGAUCAGCACGCCGCGGUGAAUACGUUCCCGGGCCUU
rnacentral:rRNA from 1 species